rnacentral:rRNA from 2 species
GUGGGUAGUUUGACUGGGGCGGUCUCCUCCUAAAGAGUAACGGAGGAGCACGAAGGUUGGCUAAUCCUGGUCGGACAUCAGGAGGUUAGUGCAAUGGCAUAAGCCAGCUUGACUGCGAGCGUGACGGCGCGAGCAGGUGCGAAAGCAGGUCAUAGUGAUCCGGUGGUUCUGAAUGGAAGGGCCAUCGCUCAACGGAUAAAAGGUACUCCGGGGAUAACAGGCUGAUACCGCCCAAGAGUUCAUAUCGACGGCGGUGUUUGGCACCUCGAUGUCGGCUCAUCACAUCCUGGGGCUGAAGUAGGUCCCAAGGGUAUGGCUGUUCGCCAUUUAAAGUGGUACGCGAGCUGGGUUUAGAACGUCGUGAGACAGUUCGGUCCCUAUCUGCCGUGGGCGCUGGAGAACUGAGGGGGGCUGCUCCUAGUACGAGAGGACCGGAGUGGACGCAUCACUGGUGUUCGGGUUGUCAUGCCAAUGGCACUGCCCGGUAGCUAAAUGCGGAAGAGAUAAGUGCUGAAAGCAUCUAAGCACGAAACUUGCCCCGAGAUGAGUUCUCCCUGAGACUUUAGGUCUCCUGAAGGAACGUUGAAGACGACG